rnacentral:snRNA from 1 species
UUGUUUUGGCAGCAAAUUUACUAAGAGUAAAGACAGAGAAGAUUAACAUGGGUCCCCAAGGAUGAUCCAUAUAUGUGUAAUAGUCCAUAUUUUU